GUCCGACAGCUAUCAGCGUGCGUAGUUUCCCCUAAUUUUAUCUCUCUCGAAGUCGGCCUCCGUCGUUGCACAGCGCAGAAACCUAAACAAACCCAAAAGCCUGCUUCUCUGCCAGCAACUCCAAGAGCUCGAGCAAUACAACCAUGUCGAAGCGAAAGUUCGGCUUCGAAGGCUUCGGCAUCAACCGCCAACCCACCUACAACUUCGAGCGCUCCCAACCCCCUCAGCGACUUUACGUCCCUCCUUCCUCCUCAUCCCUUCCCCAUGACAACUACGAGGACACCGACCUUGACAAUAUCGAUUACGAAGAUAACGACGCCUCUGCCGCCGCCAACAAGAACGAGGAGGAUGUAAAUGAGGAAAUCGACCCUCUCGACGCGUUCAUGGAGGGCAUCCAGGAGGAGAUGCGUUCGGCGCCGACUCCGAAGCCCAAGGAGAAGGCCGAGAGGUACAAGGACGACUUGGACGACGAUCCCAUGGAGAGCUUCCUCUUGGCGAAGAAGGAUUUGGGGCUCACGCUGGCGUCGGAGGCACUACACGCUGGCUACGACUCCGAUGAGGAGGUUUACGCGGCCGCCAAGGCCGUGGACGCCGGGAUGGUGGAGUACGACUCGGAUGACAACCCCGUGGUGGUCCUGGACAAGAAGCGGAUCGAGCCCAUUCUGCCUCUGGACCACAGCGAGAUCGAGUACGAGCCCUUCAAUAAGGAUUUCUACGAGGAGAAGGACUCGAUAUCGGGGAUGAGUGAGCAGGAUGUUGCUGAGUACCGGAAGAGCUUGGCUAUUCGGGUCUCGGGUUUUGAUGUCCCAAAGCCAAUUAAGACAUUUGAAGACUCUGGGUUUUCUCCGCAGCUCAUGAAUGCGAUAAAGAAGCAAGGUUAUGAGAAGCCUACAUCAAUACAGUGCCAAGCUUUACCGAUUGUGCUCUCCGGGAGGGAUAUCAUUGGAAUAGCAAAGACGGGUUCUGGUAAAACUGCUGCUUUUGUACUUCCCAUGAUUGUCCAUAUUAUGGAUCAGCCUGAACUGGAGAAAGAGGAGGGUCCUAUAGGAGUAAUUUGUGCACCAACUAGAGAGCUAGCUCACCAAAUAUACUUAGAGGCCAAGAAAUUUUCCAAGUCAAAUGGAAUACGUGUCUCUGCUGUCUAUGGUGGCAUGUCAAAAUUUGAUCAGUUGAAAGAGCUUAAAGCUGGCUGUGAGAUAGUGGUUGCUACUCCCGGGAGGUUGAUAGACAUGAUAAAGAUAAAGGCACUGACGAUGUUAAGAACAACCUACUUGGUACUUGAUGAGGCUGAUCGGAUGUUUGACCUUGGAUUUGAGCCGCAAGUUAGGUCUAUUGUUGGUCAGAUUAGGCCAGAUCGCCAGACCUUAUUAUUUUCUGCCACAAUGCCUCGUAAAGUCGAGAAGCUAGCUAGGGAAAUCCUUACUGAUCCUGUAAGAGUUACAGUGGGGGAGGUGGGAAUGGCCAAUGAGGAUAUUACUCAGGUAGUUCAUGUAAUUCCUUCUGAUGCAGAGAAGUUGCCUUGGUUGCUUGAACAGCUACCCAAAAUGAUCGAUGAUGGAGAUGUUUUAGUGUUUGCUUCAAAAAAAGCCACGGUGGAUGAGAUUGAAUCACAGCUGGCUCAGACAGGUUUUAAAGUUGCAGCUCUUCAUGGUGACAAGGACCAGGCUUCUCGUAUGGAAAUUUUGCAAAAAUUUAAAUCUGGCAUCUAUCACGUUCUUAUUGCAACUGAUGUUGCUGCCCGUGGUCUUGACAUCAAGUCGAUUAAAUCAGUUGUGAACUUUGAUAUUGCCAGAGACAUGGACAUGCAUGUCCAUCGUAUUGGUAGAACAGGCCGUGCUGGUGACAAAGAUGGGACUGCAUAUACACUAAUUACUCAGAAAGAAGCACGGUUUGCUGGUGAAUUGGUUAAUAGUUUGGUUGCUGCUGGUCAGAAUGUGUCCGUAGAACUGAUGGAUCUUGCUAUGAAGGAUGGGAGAUUCAGGUCCAAACGUGAUGCAAGAAAAGGAGGAGGGAAAAAGGGUAGAGGGAGGGGUGGUGGCAGUGGUCGGGGUGUUCGUGGGGUUGAUUUUGGUUUGGGCAUUGGCUAUACUCCAGAAUCCAAUAAUACUUCCUCCAGCUCUGUUCCAAGUCGAUCUGCUGCUGUUAAUUCACUCAGGACGGGAAUGAUGGCACAGUUUAAGAGUAACUUUGUUGCUGCUGCAUCAAAUUCACAGAGCCAGGGAAUGAGUAACAGUUCAAGUGCCUAUGCCAACAAGGGAACAGCACUAUCUGGCUUUGUGUCUGGUGGUUCAAUUGGUGGAGAUAUAUAUAAAACACAAACGACCAGUUCAUUCAGUCCUGCUAUGUCAGGCAUCGGCACCAAUCACAGCUCCUCAGAAAAUGCAAAUAAAAAGAACUCGGAGAGUUCAAGAGACAGAGGUAGAGAAAGGCGGAGGCCCUCUGGUUGGGACCGGUGAUCUGUACAAUUAAACAACACUACUUUCAUAUGGUCAACGACUCUCUUCUCUUAGUAUAACUCUGACAUGAUAUUCCGUUGUUAUUGGUAAAUAGUAAAAUCCUCCAGCUAGCACUGUGCAAUAAUUAAAGACGGUAUGAAUUGAUUCUUUUUGGGAUGCAGCCUUUAGUCGGAUAGAAAAUCUUUCAUUUGGAUAGGAAGGAUGCUGAAAAACCCAUGCAUAUACAGUUCGCUCUCUUCUUCUUCUUCUUCUUCUUCUUCUUAUUAAAUCUCCUCAACCUCUCCCGUUUGUAUUUAUUUUUAAGUAAUGUGAAAUUACUAUAUU